rnacentral:rRNA from 1 species
UACGGGGGGGGCAAGCGUUGUUCGGAAUUACUGGGCGUAAAGGGCGCGUAGGCGGCCUUCUAAGUCGAACGUGAAAUCCCUGGGCUCAACCCAGGAACUGCGUCCGAUACUGGGAGGCUUGAAUCCGGGAGAGGGAUGCGGAAUUCCAGGUGUAGCGGUGAAAUGCGUAGAUAUCUGGAGGAACACCGGUGGCGAAGGCGGCAUCCUGGACCGGUAUUGACGCUCAUGCACGAAAGCGUGGGGAGCAAACAGG